rnacentral:rRNA from 1 species
UGGAUCCAGACUUUGAUUCUGGCUCAGGACGAACGCUGGCGGCGUGCUUAACACAUGCAAGUCGAACGGAGAACUUAUUUCGGUAAGUUCUUAGUGGCGAACGGGUGAGUAACGCGUGGGCAACCUGCCCUCCAGUUGGGGACAACAUUCCGAAAGGGAUGCUAAUACCGAAUGUGCUCCCUCCUCCGCAUGGAGGAGGGAGGAAAGAUGGCCUCUGCUUGCAAGCUAUCGCUGGAAGAUGGGCCCGCGUCUGAUUAGCUAGUUGGUGGGGUAACGGCUCACCAAGGCGAUGAUCAGUAGCCGGUCUGAGAGGAUGAACGGCCACAUUGGGACUGAGACACGGCCCAAACUCCUACGGGAGGCAGCAGUGGGGAAUCUUCCGCGAUGGACGAAAGUCUGACGGAGCAACGCCGCGUGAGUGAUGAAGGUCUUCGGAUUGUAAAACUCUGUUGUUAGGGACGAAAGCACCGUGUUCGAACAGGUCAUGGUGUUGGCGGUACCUAACGAGGAAGCCACGGCUAACUACGUGCCAGCAGCCGCGGUAAUACGUAGGUGGCAAGCGUUGUCCGGAAUUAUUGGGCGUAAAGAGCAUGUAGGCGGGCUUUUAAGUCUGACGUGAAAAUGCGGGGCUUAACCCCGUAUGGCGUUGGAUACUGGAAGUCUUGAGUGCAGGAGAGGAAAGGGGAAUUCCCAGUGUAGCGGUGAAAUGCGUAGAUAUUGGGAGGAACACCAGUGGCGAAGGCGCCUUUCUGGACUGUGUCUGACGCUGAGAUGCGAAAGCCAGGGUAGCAAACGGGAUUAGAUACCCCGGUAGUCCUGGCCGUAAACGAUGGAUACUAGGUGUAGGAGGUAUCGACCCCUUCUGUGCCGGAGUUAACGCAAUAAGUAUCCCGCCUGGGGACUACGAUCGCAAGAUUGCAACUCAAAUGAAUUGACGGA